CACAAUAAUUUGCUCAAUAUAUAGAGGUCAAUUAAUUUUCUAUUAAUAAAAAUACAUUCUCCAUUUAAAAAGAAGGUUCAAUACUUAAAUUAAUAAAGGGUUAAUUUAAAUAAAUAUAUAAAUACAUAAGAGUACUCUAUUAAAAAAGAGGGGUCAAUGGACCCGCCACUGAUGAUCAGCCCUAAACACACAUGUUAGCUGCUAUAUAAAAAAUCCUACAAAAUAUUUGGUUCCGAGCAACUUCUCAAAGAGAACAGUGAAGCGCGCCAGAGACUUUUGCUGCACUGAAUGACCAACACAGAGGUGUUGUGCUACAUGCCUCCAAACCUAAAUCCACAUCCUGUUUUAACGAUGUUAUGAAAUUAUAUUUCAAUAACUCUUAGCUAAUAGCACCAUUUCAUUGGAUAAGUUCUCAACAAUUUCCUAGACCUACCGAUUGGAAUUAUCUAUGUAUAUGCAAUAUAUAUCCUUCAUUAAUGUAUGAUUUAUAAACUGCUUAUUUGCAAAAUAAGCAUUACAUCAGAUACUCAGAUACAUAAGCUUAACAUAUAAUUAACAGUAUUAAAAAAAAUUCAACAGAUAUUUCAUUUCAGUAACAAAUUACAGGAAAAUAAAAAUCUACAGGUAUGAUUCGAAUUCCAAAUUAACAAUCUCAUAAUCAGAUGCAGAUGUUUGAUAUGUAUGUAAAUGUUUAUAUACAUACAGUUUGAGUUCUCUGUAUAAUAACUGCCUUAUCACCAGAUUCAUGCGCG
rnacentral:misc_RNA from 1 species